ensembl:lncRNA
UGCAGACCAGGGGCGCAAUUUUGAAAGUGCUGUUGUGAAGGAGCUGUGUAAGUGUACUGGCAUCACCAAGACCCACACAACCCCCUAUCACCCCCAGGGCAACGGAACCACUGAAAGGUUUAACCGCACCCUCAUGAACAUGCUUGGGACACUGGAGCCUCACCUGAAGCCGCGGUGGCAUGAAUAUGUGGAUGCAAUGACACACGCCUACAACUGCACACGCCAUGACUCUACUGGUUACACGCCGUAUUACCUGAUGUUUGGCAGGCAUCCCCGGCUCCCUGUCGACCUGAUCUUCGGGCUGCAGACCACUAAUGAGCCAUUCGAUCGGGCUGGUGGGAUGACAAGAGGAGAGGUAGAACCGGACACAGAGGAGAACAUGGAGGAUACAGAGAACAUGGAGAUGGAGAAUACAGAGGACAUGGGAGAGCAAGCCGGAGAGGAGUCAGACAGAGUGGAGGACUUGGAAGUGGAUAACCCGGAGGACAAUGUGGAGAAGUGUGUACCUGGGACAAUAAAUGGACUGUGUGAACACACAGAACUGGAGGAAGUGGAUACAGAGACAGGACGAGUGAGUGAAGGAGAGGAGGGACAUUUAACAGCCAGGGGCACCAGCCUGCCUCCCAGGCCCAAUGUUCCGAGGAGGAACGCGCCGAGAAAUCGACGUCCCCCCAAAAAGCUGUCCUGUGAGCUACGAGUCGUGGAGUCAGAGGAGGAUCGGCAGAAGAUAGAGAGAGGAUGGAAGUUGUGGCAGAGAGCCAAAGCAAGAAGAGCAGCAGGACACAUGUAGCUUAACACAGCAAAAGCACCCACCUUAAUGGGGGGGUCCAUGCACACAUUUUCAUCAUAAAACACUGCACACCACACUUAUUCAUUCUUCACAUGUUUAUUUUGGCAGUUCUCUUUGUUUAUGUUUAAUAGGUGGUCCUUAUUUUGCUUAUUUUGUUAUGAUGACUGAGACGCCAUCAAUUAAAGAAGGGGUGGAUGUAGGGUAGUUGCCUU